rnacentral:rRNA from 1 species
GAUGAACGCUGGCGGCGUGCUUAACACAUGCAAGUCGAACGGAAAGGCCCCAGCUUGCUGGGGUACUCGAGUGGCGAACGGGUGAGUAACACGUGGGUGAUCUGCCCUGCACUUUGGGAUAAGCUUGGGAAACUGGGUCUAAUACCGAAUAUGACCACUUCUUGGAUGUUGUGGUGGAAAGCUUUUGCGGUGUGGGAUGAGCCUGGGGUCUAUCAGCUUGUUGGUGGGGUAAUGGCCUAACAAGGCGGCGACGGGUGUCCGGCCUGAGAGGGUGUAGAGACACAUUGGGACUGGGGUACGUCCCAGACUCCUACGGUAGGCAGCAGUGGGGAAUAUUGCACAAUGGGCGCAAGCCUGAUGCAGCGACGCCGCGUGGGGGAUGAAGGCCUUCGGGUUGUAAACUCCUUUCGCUAUCGACGAAGCCACUUGUGGUGACGGUAGGUAGAUAAGAAGCACCGGCUAACUACGUGCCAGCCGCCGCUGUAA